GCCAGACUCCUACGGGAGGCAGCAGUGGGGAAUAUUGGGCAAUGGGCGCAAGCCUGACCCAGCAACGCCGCGUGAAGGAAGAAGGCUUUCGGGUUGUAAACUUCUUUUAUCAGGGACGAAGCAAGUGACGGUACCUGAUGAAUAAGCCACGGCUAACUACGUGCCAGCAGCCGCGGUAAUACGUAGGUGACAAGCGUUGUCCGGAUUUACUGGGUGUAAAGGGCGCGUAGGCGGGAUAGCAAGUCAGUCGUGAAAUGCCGAGGCUUAACCUCGGAGCUGCGAUUGAAACUGUUAUUCUUGAGUAUCGGAGAGGAAAGCGGAAUUCCUAGUGUAGCGGUGAAAUGCGUAGAUAUUAGGAGGAACACCAGUGGCGAAGGCGGCUUUCUGGACGACAACUGACGCUGAGGCGCGAAAGUGUGGGGAGCAAACAGGAUUAGAUACCCGAGUAUC
rnacentral:rRNA from 1 species